AACGAACGCUGGCGGCAGGCCUAACACAUGCAAGUCGAACGCAUCGCAAGAUGAGUGGCGCACGGGUGAGUAACACGUGGGAACGUACCCUUUGGUUCGGAAUAACGUUUGGAAACGAACGCUAAUACCGGAUGAGCCCUGUGGGGGAAAGAUUUAUCGCCAAAGGAGCGGCCCGCGUCUGAUUAGGUAGUUGGUGGGGUAAUGGCCUACCAAGCCGACGAUCAGUAGCUGGUCUGAGAGGAUGAUCAGCCACACUGGGACUGAGACACGGCCCAGACUCCUACGGGAGGCAGCAGUGGGGAAUAUUGGACAAUGGGCGGAAGCCUGAUCCAGCCAUGCCGCGUGAGUGAUGAAGGCCUUCGGGUUGUAAAGCUCUUUCGCACGCGACGAUGAUGACGGUAGCGUGAGAAGAAGCCCCGGCUAACUUCGUGCCAGCCGCCGCAGUAA
rnacentral:rRNA from 1 species